UCUUACUCAACACUAAGCACCUGACACAUAUCGUCUAAUUAACCAUCACUAGCUCACAUGUACAGCUGAGAAACCAAGCCCAGUGGUCACAGAGGAAAUGGAGCCCAGAUCUGCCUGUGGGUUCUGAGUGGGCUCAGGGCCUGGAGAUGGAGAGAUCAGCUUGUGAUGUCACAAUGUGGCCUCCCCAGAGUGGAGGCUGGGCCCCUCCCUCCCCAGAAGCAGGACAGAGCAGCCCUGCCUUAGCAAACAGCAAGCAGUCUCCAAAAAAGAGCCCUGGUGCCCAGACACCACACAUGGACAGAAAAUGGCAGAUACUGAAGCGGAUGAAGAGGCAGUGCCUGGCUGAGGUGGCAGGCAGCCGGCUCCAACUUCAGGUCCAGGAGGGUAGCUGAGGAUGCAGCAGGCUCCCCAGACAGCUCCCAGGCGGCAGUGCCCCUGCAGCAAGGAGCCAGUGGUACCAGAGCCUGCUGGCGUGCAAGAUGAAGACAGUCAUGGUCUGCCUGAUGCUUCCGGAUGUGCAGAGACAGAAGAGGCACCUUGGGGUGGGUGGGCCCGACCUCACACAGGCUGACUUGGGCUCUCUACUCGCCAGUGUGCCCCAUAUCACAGUCUCCCCCCACCACUGAGGAGCGGCAGCUCAGCUGGGGCAUCCUGAGGCUUGGUGUCCACCGGCUGCCAGAGGCCAACCCAAUAAAGAGCCUGUAGUCA